AACCUUAAAGCUAGCCUCUCUUCCCAAAACCAACAAUAAAUUAGUAAUAACCCCUCACACACUACCCCAAACUCUCAAAUCAUUUUUCCGCCCUAGUACGGGAGACAGAAUAGGAGCCCAUUGAGCAAUAAAGAAAGUACCGCAAGGGAAAGCUGAAAGAGAAGUGAAACAACCCAGCAAAGUAAUAAUGAAGCAGAGCUCUAGCCUCGUACCUUUUGUAUCAUGAUUUAGCCAGUCAAGUUCAAGCAAAGAGCCCUUCAGUUUGUAACCCCGAAACUAGACGAGCUACUCCAAGACAGCCUAUAUAUUAGGGCAAACCCGUCUCUGUGGCAAUAGAGUGGGAUGAGCUUUGAGUAGUGGUGACAAACCUACCGAGCCUAGUUAUAGCUGGUUGCCUGGGAAAUGAAUAGAAGUUCAGCCCUCGGGAUUCUCCUCUCCCAACGAAACACACCCUUUCGACCCAAGAGAAGCCAGAGGAGUUAGUCAAAGGGGGUACAGCCCCUUUGAUUAAGGACACAACCUUGUUAAGGCGGAUAAAGAUCAUUUUACACAAAGUUAUACAUUAAGGUGGGCCUAAGAGCAGCCAUCCCUGUAGAAAGCGUUAAAGCUCAAAUGUAAAAUAAACUAUUUAUGUCGAUAACCCAAACUUAUUCCCCUAACUUUACCAGGCCCUUCCAUGCUUACAUGGAAAAGACAAUGCUAAUAUGAGUAAUAAGAAGGGCCCGCCCUUUCUCCUAACACAAGUGUAUGUCGGACCGAACCCCCACCGAAUAUUAACGGCCCCAAAACCAGAGGGUAUUUAAAUAAGUACAGAUAACUAGAAAAAUCUUAAACUAUAAACCGUUACCCCUACACUGGAGUGUUUUAAAGGAAAGACUAAAAGGAAAGGAAGGAACUCGGCAAAUAUACGCAUCAGCCCCGCCUGUUUACCAAAAACAUCGCCUCUUGCAUCAACCAAUAUAAGAGGUCCCGCCUGCCCUGUGACUCUAAGAGUUUAACGGCUGCGGUAUUUUGACCGUGCAAAGGUAGCGCAAUCACUUGUCUUUUAAAUAAAGACCUGUAUGAAUGGCAUGACGAGGGCUUAACUGUCUCCCCUCCCCAGUCAAUGAAAUUGAUCUCCCCGUGAAGAAGCGGGGAUCCCGCUAUAAGACGAGAAGACCCUGUGGAGCUUUAAACACUAGAAAAGCCCAUGUCAAGCACUCAACUAACUGAUAAUGAAACAAAAUGGACCCUUACUAAUGUUUUUGGUUGGGGCGACCGCGGGGAAAUAAAAAACCCCCACGUGGAACGAGAAUACUAUUCUUACAACUAAGAGCAACCGCUCUAAUUAACGGAAUAUCCGACCAACAAUGAUCCGGCUAAGCCGAUCAACGGACCGAGUUACCCCAGGGAUAACAGCGCAAUCCCCUUUUAGAGACCUUAUCGCCAAGGGGGUUUACGACCUCGAUGUUGGAUCAGGACAUCCUAAUGGUGUAGCCGCUAUUAAGGGUUCGUUUGUUCAACGAUUAAAGUCCUACGUGAUCUGAGUUCAGACCGGAGCAAUCCAGGUCAGUUUCUAUCUAUAACAUGCUUUUUUCUAGUACGCAAGGACCGAAAAAAGAGGGCCUCUACUUAAAGUACGCCCCUCCCCCAUCUAGUGCAGGCAACUAAACUAGACAAGGGCGCAUACACCCAAAUGCCUUAGAUAAAGGUUU
rnacentral:rRNA from 1 species